rnacentral:rRNA from 1 species
UACGUAGGGUGCAAGCGUUGUCCGGAAUUAUUGGGCGUAAAGAGCUCGUAGGCGGUCUGUCGCGUCUGCUGUGAAAACUCAGGGCUUAACCCUGAGCUUGCAGUGGGUACGGGCAGACUAGAGUGCGGUAGGGGAGACUGGAAUUCCUGGUGUAGCGGUGAAAUGCGCAGAUAUCAGGAGGAACACCGGUGGCGAAGGCGGGUCUCUGGGCCGUAACUGACGCUGGAGGAGCGAAAGCAUGGGGAGCGAACAGA